GAUAGAGGCCUACCAUGGUUUUAACGGGUAACGGGGAAUUAGGGUUCGAUUCCGGAGAGGGAGCCUGAGAAACGGCUACCACAUCCAAGGAAGGCAGCAGGCGCGCAAAUUACCCAAUCCCGACACGGGGAGGUAGUGACAAUAAAUAACAAUACGGGGCUCAUUUGGGUCUCGUAAUUGGAAUGAGUACAAUUUAAAUCUCUUAACGAGGAACAAUUGGAGGGCAAGUCUGGUGCCAGCAGCCGCGGUAAUUCCAGCUCCAAUAGCGUAUAUUAAAGUUGUUGCAGUUAAAAAGCUCGUAGUUGAACUUCUGGGUUUACCCAUUGGUCAGGCUUAAUUGUCUGUACUGGUGAGAUAAAUCUCUACCUUCUGAGGAACUUUCAUGUCAUUAAUUUGGUGUGAUUGGAAAUCAGGACUGUUACUUUGAAAAAAUUAGAGUGUUUAAAGCAGGCUAACGUCUGAAUACAUUAGCAUGGAAUAAUGAAAUAGGACGGAUUGAUUCUAUUUCGUUGGUUUCUAGGAUCACCGUAAUGAUUAAUAGGGAUAGUUGGGGGCAUUAGUAUUCAAUUGUCAGAGGUGAAAUUCUUGGAUUUAUUGAAGACUAACUACUGCGAAAGCAUUUGCCAAGGAUGUUUUCAUUAAUCAAGAACGAAAGUUAGGGGAUCGAAGACGAUCAGAUACCGUCGUAGUCUUAACCAUAAACUAUGCCGACUAGGGAUCGGACGAAGU
rnacentral:rRNA from 1 species